UAGGAGUCAAAAGACCAGAUUCAGAAAGAUUUGCCCUGGAUUGAGAAAAGCCAGAGAGAUGGUGUUGCAAAGAACUUGGGCCAACAUCCAGAAAAGUCCAUGUGGUAGAAGUUACCUUUUCCUCACAGUCAGGAGAAACUUCUAACCAGCAUUUUGUUUUAUCUGCCAGCCCAGGUGCUUUCAUUGAUCCCCUAAGCAGCAAACCUGUGCACUGCAAAGACAUGCUUGGAUCAGUGCUUUCCCUUGCCUUAGUUUCAAAGGUGGUAAUUGAAACACAGGCAAGAUUUAAUAAAGGACCAAAGACUCUAAAAGGAGCUGCAGCAGAGUGGAGAUGGCAGCUCAGCUGAGCUCCAGUUCAGAACCCCCACCUGAAAUCCAUUUGUCCUCCACAGCUGAGUGCCUGAGCACACUGCCUAAAUACCUACACAUGGCAUCCAGUCUGUGGAUCCAAAAAAGAAAGAGUUCUCUCCACUCUUUCUGCUUGUAAACAUAAGCAAGCCCUGCAUUCCUUGCUAUUAAAAGACAUGAGCUGGUACCAAACAUUACCAAGAGGUCUUCAGAUUUCUCAAGAGACCAGAGCUCCCAGCCUUCAAUGCCAGAGGACAAAUCCGAUUUAAUUCAUGAUCUCAGAAACCCUGUGGCUUCACAAAAUCCCUUAUCCCAUCUCCUACCUCCAAGCCACACACAGAUUAUUCUAUGAUCCUAUUCAAUGACCAGAAGAAGACUAAUCUAUCUGUCAUAAAGCCUGCUGGCCUCUGGCAAGCCCCAGGGCUCAGGAAGAGCUGGAAACCACGCAGCCUGGGGUACUCUUCUCCUUCUUCCCAUGUAGGCGGGAGGAAGGAGAAGAGUAAACUGGGGAUUUGUCCUAAAUGAGCUUUUGAAUUGUCCUUGGGCUCUUGUGUUCUCCUGUGAGGGGAUCCUGGGCUGUGCUGGGAGAGGCUCUCCUCUCCUCUCCCUUCAGCUGUUCUUCCUGCACAUGGAGAGACAGGCCAGCUUUACCAGCCUGUGCCACCAUUGCCAUGCCAGGGGCAGGGAUUUUCCC